rnacentral:tRNA from 1 species
GCGAAAGUGGCGGAAAUGGCAUACGCGCUGGAUUUAGGAUCCAGUGUCCUCUGGACUUGGGGGUUCAACUCCCCCCUUUCGCA